rnacentral:rRNA from 1 species
UACGUAGGGUGCAAGCGUUAAUCGGAAUUACUGGGCGUAAAGCGUGCGCAGGCGGUUCGCUAAGUCAGUUGUGAAAUCCCCGGGCUUAACCUGGGAACUGCAUUUGUGACUGGCGGGCUAGAGUAUGGCAGAGGGGGGUAGAAUUCCACGUGUAGCAGUGAAAUGCGUAGAGAUGUGGAGGAAUACCGAUGGCGAAGGCAGCCCCCUGGGCCAAUACUGACGCUCAUGCACGAAAGCGUGGGGAGCAAACAGG